CCUACGGGAGGCUGCAGUGGGGAAUAUUGGACAAUGGGCGCAAGCCUGAUCCAGCCAUACCGCGUGGGUGAAGAAGGCCUUCGGGUUGUAAAGCCCUUUUGUUGGGAAAGAAAUCCAGCUGGCUAAUACCCGGUUGGGAUGACGGUACCCAAAGAAUAAGCACCGGCUAACUUCGUGCCAGCAGCCGCGGUAAUACGAAGGGUGCAAGCGUUACUCGGAAUUACUGGGCGUAAAGCGUGCGUAGGUGGUCGUUUAAGUCCGUUGUGAAAGCCCUGGGCUCAACCUGGGAACUGCAGUGGAUACUGGGCGACUAGAGUGUGGUAGAGGGUAGCGGAAUUCCUGGUGUAGCAGUGAAAUGCGUAGAGAUCAGGAGGAACAUCCAUGGCGAAGGCAGCUACCUGGACCAACACUGACACUGAGGCACGAAAGCGUGGGGAGCAAACAGGAUUAGAUACCCGUGUAGUC
rnacentral:rRNA from 1 species